UACGGGGGGGGCAAGCGUUGUUCGGAAUUACUGGGCGUAAAGGGCGCGUAGGCGGCCUGCUAAGUCACACGUGAAAUCCCUCGGCUCAACCGGGGAACUGCGUGUGAUACUGGCGGGCUUGAAUUCGGGAGAGGGAUGUGGAAUUCCAGGUGUAGCGGUGAAAUGCGUAGAUAUCGGCAGGAACACCCAGGGGGAAACCAGCCGACUGGGCAUCUACUGACGCUGAGGUGCGAGAGCGUGGGGAGCGAACCGG
rnacentral:rRNA from 1 species